GGGUGAAACGUCGCGCAGGUGCGAAAGGAUUUUGGCCAAUCCUCUCCUCGCGCGCGGCGUGCUUCCAGUGGGUCGUGGAACCCUAGACCCCUUUCCCCAAUCCCACGGCUGCCUCCAUCCUCCCGUGCUCCACCCCGAGCGUGCCCAGGCUCCGCCUCCUCCUCCUCCUCCUCCUCCACCAUCCCUUCUCUUCUCACUCUUCCUCCUGUGGCGGCCGCCUCCUCUUCUCCCUAUCUUCCUCCUCCUCGCCCCACGCGACCCCUCUUGUGCCGCUCGUCUCCACUUCGUUGCCGCCAUAGAUCGAGGAGGACGGCGCGAUGACGACCAUGAUGCAUCAGACAUCCCAGAUCGACGACGCCAUGGAAGCCAUGAGAGCUGGCCGAGGAAGAGAGGGCAGGGCCGCAGGCCAUGAAGGGCAUGGCGGCUGCGGGCGGAAGCAGCAUGGGUUGAAGGAGCGGCGGAUGUGGGCGGGGUCAGAGGUUGGGGAAGACUCGUCGGCUGGGCGACAGGAAGCGCCGGUGAGUGCAAUCAUGCGUUUCCAGAAGCGUCCUAUCCUACAAGGCAGGCAAGGACGACGUCGUCGCCCUCGCAGGUUCUACGAUCUGUUGCAUCUCUUUUCUUCUCGUUAAGGAGAGGGGAGGCGGCCAAUGACAGGGAGAAGGAGCAGGCCGUCGAGGAGUGCAAGCAGAAGGUUUCCGGUGACUAGAAGUCUGAAUCUGAUGACAGGGCAUAUUGUUUUGGUUAUGAGUGGUUGGAGUUAUUGUGGCUUGAUGUCCUGGAGCAGUCAGACCCUUCCAAGAUAGGUCGAGCGACGGCGAGCACAUCCGACGGCAACACACCAAGCAAAAAAGAAGCAGGAGCAAAACGAAAGUGAGCACCAUAGAAAGGAUGAUUAUAAGCAAGCGACAAGAACAAGCCAAUGGGCAUGGCAUUUUCAAGCGACAAGAACAAGCCAAUGGGCAUGGCAUUUUAUGAAAAAUGAGCAGAGGUAAUGUAUUAUUGUAUUGGUCGAGACUUGAGGGUACUGUCUAAACAAAAUGUAUACAGUUGGCAAAGAAUUUAAUGUACAUACAUAGUACAUUAUGUGAUGUAUAAUGUUCAAUUGGCCUCCCAAUCAUAGUAUGGAUAUUUUCAAUAUGGGUGGCAUUCAGGCUUAGUUAGUUUCCUCUCAUUCUUGGCAUCAGAUGACAUCCAUAGGUGGGAUCCAUUUUCAUAUUAGUAUAUAGCCCUACUAUUUAAAUGGUUCCGAUUGAAUUUUUAUGCUAUGAAAUAAAUAAUUUCUCCAGCACCGGAUUUAUGUCGUCAUGGAUAUAUAUUAUUGGUCUUUUGGCCAAUAUAUAGGUAAAUGCAUCGUUACCAACUACUGGAAAAAGGUUUGUAUUCAGCAUGGUCAAUCUAAAUAGAUGAGCGAUGGAGAUGGAUAUUUCUAUGCUUUUUUAGAAGAUGCUCUGAAGUUAAUUGUUUGUGAUGGUUAUUUGUAAUGCGUUUUUUGAAAUAAAAUUGGUUCUUCGCUGUGAUUUUUUUAGACCUAGGUUCGUACAUUAUUGAUGUGUGCAUUGCUUAUGAAGAACACAGCCGCAGCUGAUGUAUUCAUGUGUCGUCCCUUCAUAUGGUACUAUAUUUAAAUGUUCCUGGCCACUGUAGCUGCUACUUAUCAACUUAUAAACAUUUGGUUUGCUCAUGUGUCUUAGAACAACUUUUUUAGCACCUGUAUGUGAAAUAAUAAGCGUAGCGUUCUCAUUUAUAGGACAUUUAUUAUUUUCAAUUUCAUGCUAGAAUGACUUUUGUUGUGCUAUUUAAAACAACCGUGUUGAUCUCAAUAACACAGGGAUACAUAGAGCUAGCCAGUGCAAGCUUCUGGCUUGGUUGCUGUAAACAUACUAAGGUCCCUACCAUAUGUGAAAAGAAGGAAAUGUUGGUGUUACCUGAUGCACCACUUUCCUUUCAUGAUGUUAUAGUUUGAACGGUUGCUCAUGGGUUUUGUCUCGUGCAGAGACCAGGCGUGGGACUGGUGCUUGGUAGCAACAGCGAUUCCUUCAGGCAUUUCGAUUCCAGUAACCACAAGUUCUAGGGAAGAUGUAUGUUUCCUACAAAGGGUUUGAGUUUGAGAGGCACAGAAGAAGUUACAAGUGUUGCAGCUUAUUUGUCUUUAUAGUGACAUGUAUCGACAAACGAUUGUUAUAUUCAGUAUGCUAGGGUGUGUCCUAUUUAUCAUGCAGAUUCUGUAUUAGGUGCUCGAUAGAGGUAACAAAAGCUAACAGAGAUCAGAAUAUAUUUUUACUUAUAUUUUUGUCUUUCUUUUAGUUCUGUGUAGUCUUUAUUUACCAUGUAAUGAUUAGUUUGAAUGCUUAUAGUGGUUAUACUUUCCCUAUAAAUUUGUUGGGUAGAUUAUAAUUCCGUUACUUGAUUUAGGACAGUAUAUGGUUCUAUGAUACAGGAUUUAGAGGAACAUAUAUGGGAUUUUGUUUUUCAGGUCACACUUGUCCCAUAUUCUGUUACUUUCCCUAUUGAUUUUAGCUUGCAAUUGAGUAAGAUGCAGGCUGGGAAUUCUCCCUUGUGUGUCAGAAUCUGAAGUAUUUGACCAUUUGGGUUCACUUCUAUCAUGUGUUGUAUCCUUCCUCUAUUUUGAGAUUUACUAGGCGCAUGCAGGUUAGUUGUUGUUUCAAACAUGUCAAUGAAAGGUAAUAAUGUUAAAAUUGGUUCCCCAAGGGCCAAGGUGGUGAUGAUCACUUUGUGCUUCUUUUCCUACUUGUUCUAAAAAUGAUUCUUCUAGGUGAUGUUGAUUUAGGUUUUUGUGGUCGUGUCAUACACCAAUUACCGUCGAGAUGGGUAAUGGUAUGAGAAUGGGGCUCCAAGGAUGUGAAAAUGGUCUGGAAGACAGAGUUAGCAGCGACAUGUGUCCUCAAGUAAUUUCUUGCCAAAGGUGAUGUGAAGGUUAGCUACUGUGAUCAAGGAAAUAACAUGUAUCUGUGUGGUUUGUUCCUGCUGUUGAUCGGCUGUUGCUGCGUUUAAGGUAUGUUGUGCCCGGUGCUACUUAAUGAUAUAUAAAACCUAUAGCUGUACAUAAAACGCCUUGAUAUGCAAAUAACCCAGUUAAAAUAAAUGGGUUGCGCCAUCUAGCAUUACAUGAUGACAUGCCAAACACUUUGCCACCUAGGAUAGUCUAUAUUUGUAUUUCAUUCAGUUAUCUCAUAUUUCCAGUAAAAAAACUCUUCGCUUUGGGGUUUUGGAAUAAUCUUCAGGAAGUUGGUGACGAGUUAGUAGAACUUAUAGAAAUUGUAGAAAAUAGCCCCUACGGAAUUACAAAGAGCGAGAAUAAGGAAGCCGGCAAACUUAGUGCUUCAUGGUAUUUCAGUAGAAAGGAAAUAGAAGAGAAUUCUCCGUCUAAGAGGGAUGGCAUUGAUUUAAAGAAAGAGAGUUACCUUCGGAAAUCGUAUUGCACUUAUCUACAAGAUUUGGGGAUGCGGCUCAAAGUGUAAGAUAUUUUAUGUCCUUCUAUGCAUUUAUCGAUACUGUAGCCUGUUGGCUGACUGUCCCUUACUUAUCCAAAAACAUUGAGUUAUGCUACUUACCCAACCAGAUGUUAAAUACUUCAAAAUGUGUCUUUAUAUGGUCAUUGUAUCGUAAUUGCUUCUCCUGAUGUGUUUUUGUUUUACACCAGCAUAUAUUUGGUCCAGAGAUAUUCAAUUGUUUGUCUGAUAAGAUAAUAUUUUACUUCUUUAUGGAGCACUCUUAUGGCAAGCACAUUUUUUCUGGAUGAACUGCUGGUUGGGUUUUUUCUCCAUAAAUACGAUAAAUUAUCAUAUCUAUGAAAUGUUAAGAUAUACUGAAAAUAUGCCCUGUAUGAUGGUGGUCUGGCAUUUUAGAAUUGUUUUGGGCAAUUCAUGUUUGUAUGCAUUUUUUCUUUUCGCCCUUGAAGGCAUCUUUAAUAGUUUGCAAUUGCGAUAGAAAUUUCUGUGCUCAUAUCUUUAGUUUUUAUUACAAUUGGUCGAGCUACAACGAGUGCGUCUGAUUCCAACUCAUCAAGGUGAGCUCCCUCUUUUAUUCUUCUCAGGUAAUGAGGCAUCGGUGUAGGCCCAAUCUUUUUGUUUGUUGCUUUGAAGAGUGUUGUCAUGUUGUGGAAAGGCAACAUGUGCUUGAUAUGUGGAGUUGGUGUUGAGCCUGGCGGUAGUAGACAGGGAAGGCACCCAUCUCACUUGAUCUUGAGAGUUGAUUCAUAUCUUUUUUUCUUGACCUGAUUGAGUUCCUAUAUAUGCAAGGAUAAAGAAGAAGGGGCAUUGUCGUGGUUGUUGCUUAAGGUGUAAGUCAGGAGCUGAUUGCCGGGACUGAUGACAAGAACGGAGAGCAGGAUGAGUAUGUCAACAUGAUGUUCCUUGAUGUUGGCCUUCUUUUAUAAAGUUCACAUGCAACUCUCCUCCAUGGUUAGAAAAAACUAAUUUGAACGUUUUGUUUCUUUGGUGGUUAUUCAUUUCUCUUACCAUUGAUGUAUCAAAACAAUUGUAUUUUCGUUGAUGGCCACUUGGGCUCAUUUUCGAGGAGAAUGAGAUGUGGAAUAAACUACUCUGAAA